rnacentral:rRNA from 1 species
ACAACUUUCAACAACGGAUCUCUUGGCUCUCGCACCGAUGAAGAACGCAGCGAAAUGCGAUAAGUAAUGUGAAUUGCAGAAUUCAGUGAAUCAUCGAAUCUUUGAACGCACCUUGCACCUUUUGGUAUUCCGAAAGGUACACCCGUUUGAGUGUCAUUGU